CAGGCAACGCAACCGGCAGCAAUUGCAGCAAGUAGUGGUAUGAAGACCCGUGCUAAACGUCGUGCAGACGAAGAAGUCAGAACAGCAUUAGACGCAGCAGAUGCAGCAGAAACAGC